GAACAAUAGAAUAGUAAGUAAGUAAAGUGAAUUAAAAAUAAAUGUCAUUAAGGUUAAUAGCUGUAGCAACAGUCAAAAUAUGUUAAUUUGCUUAUAUUUUCAUUCCAAUUUAUGAGUUAAGUAUCUUAAAAUCAUUCCUUAGUGUUUUUCUUCUUUUUUAAAUAGAAUAUAUGUUUAUAAUUUCUAAAUUGAAAAUUCUAAUUGUAGAGCAUUAUAUGACAAACUGCUCUACUGAAAAUUUUUCCAGGCUGUUUGGGCCUCAGGAUGUAUUUAACUCAUAUCCAUCAAUAUUCACUAAACCAAUGAUGAGUAUCAGUAUACAUUAUCAUUAACUCCAAUUAAAGUAUUUCUCCAUUAUUAACAUAUAAUAUAUAAUAUGCAUGGAUAUAUUCUCUUCUAUACUAAUACAUACUAUUAAUAUAUAGUAAUGCCUCGUAAAAAUAGAAUAAAGAUUCUACUUCAGAAUAGAUGGUGCUGAUGACAAUAUGAGUGGAAUCUGACCACUGCUUGGGCUAACGGCUUUCACUUGUGACCCUAAUACUUGUUCUAGCUGCAUGCUAGCUAAGCUCUUUUUGGUUGACUGUGGAUGAAGAGUAAACACUGAGUCUGAAGAUUCAUUUUGGUGCCAAAGGGUCUACGUGAUACAUUUGUCAAAUAGAAUCUAUGGAAAUGUUUGCUCUUUUCCUCUUAGAUGUUGCCACACAACGAAGUUGCUCUCCAAAAGGAGAUAGACAUCCGGAGGAUGCUUUCUCUUAGUUCUUUGAUGUGACUCAGAUAAACUCGUCCAGAAGGUGCUGCUGGCUUCAAUUGGCUUUCCAUUGCUGCUUUCCUCCAGCAGAAGCUUAAGUAAUAUCCAUAGUCUUAGUAGACAACAGAACCCUUAAUUCUGUGGUAUAUAUAAUUAGAAUCUCAUUGUAAAUAAGCGUUAACUUACAUCCAUGUAAGGGAUUGUUUGCAAUGCUUCAGCUAUCCUAAUAAGGACAAAAAGCAACUGGAGUGUCUUUGACUAUCACAAAGAAGAAAGGUUUCUUUAAGUUCUAUUGAUCUGCAUUUCAGGUAAUGGGUCAUGACUCCAUUAUUAGGAAAAGGAGGAAAUUUUAAUUAAUUGGAAAAGCUUGAUAUAGAAAAUGUCUCAUUAACUACAAUUAGAGGAAACGCUAGGGGGAAGAAGGGAAUUUCAGUUUGUGCAUUACGUGAUGAAGAGAAGAGGGAGACUUACAAUCAUAUAAGAAUUCACAAGGAGAAAAAACUGCAGGUGGGCUGUUUGCUCAGACUGCUUAAAUACCUCCAAGGUUACAAAAUUAAUGAGGGAAGGGAGUCACUCAGUCUCCACCGAUGAGAACAAGAUUUGGCCUGGAGCUACGGAAGGAAAGAUCAGCCUUGCUGUUAGGAAACAGUGAGCUAGAAAGAGCACUCAGUAGUGAGGCAGAGACAGAAGAAUGCAGUAAAAUCGGCAGAGCCCUUACAUAAGCAGGCUGGCCGGGUUAUGUAAAAGGAAGGCUUGUCUUUCCAUGGUCAUCUUGCAUAACCACGGGCUUCUCUGGAGUGUGUUUUCACUUCCCCUUGUGUCUUUUGUGUUUUAGAGGACAUCUGACUCCCUGCUAUGCUCAGCUUCCUGUGUAUGGGGUCUUAUAAGUUAGGCCCAGCCUUUAUCUUGCUUUACAGAAGUGCUGUAGCCAUGUGGUUUUAUACAGUUUGCAUAGAUCACAGCUAGCAGAGGCAGGGUCCAAACACGUGCUCAUCCUGUGGUGUGUACUUUCUCACCAGAGUCGUUUUUUUCUCUGGAGAUUUUUGUUCAUUUAUGUGUACGGAUGUUCUGCCUCCAUGUCGGUGCACCACAGCCACGCAGUACCCAUGGAGGCCAGAAGAGGGCAUGAGAUUCACCUGCAGUAGUCAGCCAAUAGAUCAGAAGAACAUCAAUCACUGAAGAUCAAGACAAGGAGCCACAGAAAGGGUUGCAGUUCAAGAGAGGAGCCAGCACUGCCUCGGCAGGUGUGUUGUCUAAUGAGCUCUUAAUGAAGGAGCAGGUGGAACCAGGCCAGACACCCUCAAGAUUGCAAGAGUAGAGACAGCCCAGUAGAUCUGUCUGUAAUGAUGUCUACAGAAAGAUGCUAAUAUUUGAUACCAUUAUUAUUUGUAUACUAUCUCAAUCAUUCUUACAUAAUAAAUUAAAAAAAAUAAUUUCUGUGUUAACCAGUCACCUCCAUUUCCAAUCCCUACAUGCCUGCAGUUUCAUGGGCAAGCCAAAAGGCAAAAUAAAGCAAAACUAACAAACGCCAUGUAGGUCAGGUAGACACUCAUUUCCCCACAGUGGAAUAAAGCCUGUCAUAAUAGCUAACACUUAAACUGGUGCUCAUAUGUAUUAAUUAAGAGUUUCUAAGAUACAUUUGCUAUGGAUCAUCAAGGUAAGACCCAGAACUCCCCUCAUAAGUGUUGCGAAAGAAAUACCAGGGCUCACCAUCAGUCAUACUCUAGAAAUGGAAAGACAAAUAAAAAAAGGCACAAAUGUUCAAUACCCAAUAGAAUUAUAGGAUAUUCAGACUUCUAGAACAGCUCUUCUGAGGAUCACAGAUCUCCAGACAGAGCAGAAAGAAUGUAAAAGCUGGAGGAAGGGGUGGAGUUAAGGUUAAAACCUUGUCAGUUUCUUGGAAAGAAAC
rnacentral:sRNA from 1 species